UCCGAUCUCCUAAAGGUGGCCAUCGAUUUUUUUUUUUGUCAUUCAUCUUCGUCGUUGUUUUGUCGCCGAGAGGGAUUGAUCUUGGUCUGAACUUCGUCGGUCCUCGUUGCCCGCCGAUCUGGAUGUGACAGCUCCCUGAGUCAUCGGCCUCUACCACCACAUCGAGCUCCCUCCCAUCCACCACCACCGACCAUAUCGACCUACACCUCUAGGAUCCCUGUCACUAGCACCACUACCUCACCCACCCAUGGGCCAUCAGGCGGCUCCACCUCGCCACCCGACGUCGCCUCCUUGACCUCUCCAUCGGCCCUCGUUGUAUGCAGGCCGCUGUGUGCACCAAGGGUCGUCUCCUCACCGGCUUCGCCUCCCUCCACCAGCAUCACCGCUUCAGCGCUUCUCCGCCCUAACGAUCGGCCACCGGCUUCGCUUGGAUCAGCCACUCCUCCCGUCGUUCCGGGAGAACGACCACCUCUCCACUGCUCGUCGCUCGGACCUCGCUGCUCCGCUGGUUUCUUGCUACCUCUGCUCUGCCUUCCUACCUCUCCUUUUCCCGUGUGGUUGUCUCUGGCCUUGUAGCAAGAGGACAGAGUAACAAAGGAGAGAAGAUACGAGUAACCCAGCUUGAACUGGUUCAGUGGACCUGAUCUGAAAAAGAAAUGACAAGAGAUAACCGCACAAAUCUCUUUCAGCGUCUAAUCGAUUGGAUGAUUGAUUUUAGGGUUUUGAGUCGAUGGUCACAGGGCCUCACUUGCCUAACUAACCGGUAUUAGCCAAUAAAGUCAACUAACAUCUCCUCUUGAUUUUGAGACUAACUAACGAGUCUACUAAAUGAAGUAGCUCCUCGAGGUAAUGUGUUAAACUUUUGGUGGGCUAAAACUCUAGUGGGGUGGUCUGGAUCUUAACCUAUUUCUAGGUCCAUCCUACUAGGGUAUUUACAUAAUUUGAUGGCCCUAAACGAUCACAUAGCCUACACAUCCCCUGAUAGUAUGAUACAUCUCUUCUUCCUUUUAACUCUCGAAGAGAUUGAGGGGUGGCUUUUUCCAUCUCUUUUACUAUGUUAUCAUAGGCAUUAUGUAAUUCUAAUUUUAUGCGAUACUCUUUAAUACUCCAUCCCUCCCAAAAUAUAACAACUUUAGCCUUUUAAAUUUGUCCCAAAAUAUAAUAACUUUAACACCAACAUUCCCUUCUCAACAGUCACAACUCUUCUCCAUUCAAUUUCCCCACCUACCUUCGCAUCUCAACCAAUCACAAUCUUCUACCACUUAAUUCUACCUACUUUCUUAAUAACUGUGUUUAACUCUAAAACUCCUCGUGAGACGGAGGGAGUAUCUUAGGCCCUAUUUAGUUCCCACGCAAAAACUUUUCACCCUGUCACAUCGAAUGUUUGGAUACAUGCAUGGAGUAUUAAAUAUAGAAAAAAAAAACUAAUUAGACAGAUUGCGUGUAAAUUGUGAGACGAAUCUUUUAAGCCUAAUUGCUACAUAAUUUGACAAUGUAGUGUUAUAGUAAACAUGUGUUAAUAACGGAUUAAUUAGGCUUAAUAAAUUCAUCUCACGGUUUACUGAUAGAAUCUAUAAUUUAUUUUGUUAUUAAUCUAUAUUUAAUACUUUAAAUAUGUAUUCGUAUAACACGCGAAAAUAUUUUACCCCGCAACUAAACAGGGCCUUCGUCUUGAUGAAACGAAAACAUAUGUGGUAACUCCACCCUCACGGUCCUCCCCUCUCGCCACCACCACAUCACGCCGCCGUUUCGUGCUCAUCAUCUCUAUCCAUCAAACCCCACCCCGCCACCGUACACGGUACACCUGGACCACAAAGCAGCGGCGCGCUCGCUGCCACACGGGCCCGGACGCGUGACCCUCGGUGGGUCCCACCUGUAAGAGAGAGGCGGGCGACCUCCACGCGCACUACUCCAUCACAUGAAAUUGGGGGUGCGAUUAGCCGGGGCUUUAAAAAAGGGAGGAGAAAUUGGGAGAGAAAAAAGAAACCCACACUAGUGAAGGGAGAGAGGGGGGAUCGAAACCCUAGGGCGGCGAGCUCGGCGGCGAUGGCGGCGGCGGCGGCGCCGGAGUCGUACAUCGGGAGCGUGAUAAGCCUCACGUCGAAGAGCGAGAUCCGGUACGAGGGCGUCCUCUACACCAUCAACACCGAGGAGUCCAGCAUCGGGCUCAGGAACGGUUAGGCUCCUCCCUCCCGAGCUCUUCCCCCUCCUCCUCCCGCCUCCCCUGGUUGGGCCGCGUCGGCGAUCUGUGGGAGAGGGUGUGUGUGUGUGCCGCGUCGCCGUGGAAUUAUGGAUUCGCUGUUUUUCUUUCCUGUUUGCUUAGCUUCCUGUUGCUAUGGGUGCAUAUAAUCUCGAAUCAUCUAUGCAGGAUUACCGUAUGGUUGGGGGUCUAGCUCAUUUUUUUUUUGCAAGGAUUGUAUGCUCUUAGUUCUCGAUUACACUGUGGACUAGUCAUCUUUGUUGUGCGAUGCGAGCUAGAAUUUAGAAUCUAACAGCGUGGGUAAAGAUCUGGGACCGGAUGCUGAACAGUUCCACUUGUACUUGGUUAAUUUUGUGUUCUUCUGUGGAGGUGGAGUAAACAGCGUGGGCUGUGGUCUACAGCGACUAGGUAUUGUUGGUGGGGGAUUACUCUUCUUAACGGCCUAACAACCUAGUUUUGUUAUUAAUGAUGGGAAGUCCUUUUGUGAUAACCCAUUCAUAGCAAUCCGAAUUCAAGUAGUGUAGCAUUCAGUGCCUUCUUGCCAAAUCGUUGGCGGUCUUAAGUUGGGUAAUGUCGUUGUACAUCUGAAAGAGGCUAGGGAUCUUUCCCUGUUUGGAAUAUAUAGUUGAACCCGAGAAUGAUGCAUGUGGGAAGGUGCCAUUGCGGUAGGUGCUUUGCCAAACUUUCUAUUGUGAGCUAUUGGUAGGAAAUGUUUCCCUCUGACAGUUGUCUCUUUCAAGCUAUUCUUAUUAUUACUAUUGAUGUGUUGGUGAUGCUGUGUCUUGACCUGUAUCAUAUAACUCAAUGACCCAAUCCUGCAGACAACCUUUCCAUGCAAAACUCACUGACUGAUGUGGGCAUUUGUUAUUUUUGUAAGGGUUUGCAUGUUCCAUUACACAGCCAAUCAUAUAUUUUCUGUUUCUUAACUGACUUGGAGAUGUUACUUCGUCAAACAAUCAACGGUUUCUGUUUUUAGAUAAGAUCCUGUUUUCAACAUUGGGUAUUGGUGUGUGACCUAAUAUUAUCUGAUAACUUUUCAAUGCGUGGAAUGCAAUCGGAUAUGGUUUUUACAGGAAGUUUUACACCUUGAUAAUAUUUUCUUUUCUUAUUCCGUUAAUAUUUCAAUCCAAGCUUAACUUUCAUACCACAUUCAAAUCUGAAAAAAGCAAUACUUCAAUAUAUGGCUAAUCUGAACAGUGCAGUUUGCCAAUAAGAAUUGGCAAUUUCAUGUAAUUUACCUGAGGUUUUUGCUUGCAGAUUUGAUUUUCUAUUUUUUCUUUCCACAAAUUUAGAAUUUAACAUAUAUUGUAAUUUGGUCCCUAUGUGUAUGUAGUACAGCACCAAAUUCUUGUUAGAAUAAUAGUGAUUUUUGGAUUUGAUCUGAAUUUUUGGUUCAAAAUGUUGAUAUGGAACCUUGUAGGGCCAUUAUUUGUCAUAUUUUACUGGUUGCAACCCUGACGUUAAUGUAAGCUGGGGAUGAGCUGAAUAGUCUACUCCCCCCUUCUGCUUCUCCUUGUUCCCAUCUCUUUCUGCAUACUUGUAUCAUUCUAGCUCUCUAUGCAACACUGUGUAUUCUACUAUUCCGAUAGCUACUAACAUCCUUCUGUACGAUGAGGACAUGGCCAUUGUUUCAUUUGUUAUGUGGAGAGGCUAGUCAAAAGGGCCUUGAUGUCUGUUUGACAUCAUUUUUGCUUUGUUUUGGAUUUUCCAUAGAAAGAUCAUUUGUGCAAGUAGGAUAUCAUAGCAGACAUAAUUUAUGAGCAGUGUUGCAGAUGCUCCAUAUAUUUCUCUAGGAAAGUGAAAUGAAGCUUUAUCCGUGGCUUAUAUUCCCAAAGUUCUAAAUGUUUUAGUUAAAACACUAGAAAAUAGACGUGGCUUUGCCGCAUAAUAGACCAGCCAGUAUGAAAUACUCCAUCCGUUUCAUCGUGGGUGGCGGAGGAUCCGGUGGGCGGCGAGGCGUGCAUCGGCCAUCGGGAGGAGGGAUGGGUGGAUUAGGGGUCGAGCGCUUUUGUGAAAAAAAAAUUCAAGCUUCGUUGGUCCAUCGCAGCGAACUUUCGGGGAGCAAGGAGACACGUGGCAGAUUUUUGGGGAGGGGAAGCUUAAUUUCUAGGACGCCACGUGGCGUAAUCUCCGGCCAGGGAUAGAGCCCUGAAAUUGGUAUUAGAGAUUUGAAACUUAACUUGAAGUAAGUUAAAAAAUUGUUACCACAAAAAUGUAUUUUUUUCUCUCUAAUCUUAUGAUUUGAGUAUCCAUGGGUGUUUGAUAUUUUCCUGUGACCUUAAGAAGAGAUGCUGUUCUCAUGUUCGUGUGCAUGAUAUUAUUCUCACUGAGUGCUUCACUGUACUGUUUUGCAGUUCGCUCAUUUGGAACUGAAGGUCGUAAGAAGGAUGGUCAACAGAUUCCAGCCAGUGACAAGAUAUAUGAAUACAUACUAUUUAGAGGAAGUGAUAUAAAGGUAAUGCUGGUAAAUCAGAAACAUUACUAAAACACUAAAUAAAUCUGUGAUUAUUGUUGAAUUAUUGAUCCAAUGAUUUGGCCUGUUAUACAGUAUAGUAGGAUCAACUUUUGGAUUGUAAUAUCGUACUUUUGGAUCAUUAUUUUCUAUUGCUUAAUUUUGGUCACAUACAAGAUGUGGAUUAGGAUUAUCCCAUUGAAUAAUAGUAUUUGGAAAAUAUGUGACUCAUUGGGGUCCAGUGAUCACAUUUUUUUUUUGUCAAGUUCUCCGAAACCUUUAUUUAAUCCUGAUACAAACUUUUUCUUUCUUGCUGAUUUACUGUCACUGUUUACAUUUUUGUCUUGCUCUGUUUGUUCAUCUUGUUGUAUUACACUGGCAAUCCCCUUUCCUAUGUCUUAGCUUUGAUUGCUCCACUGCAGGAUUUACAAGUCAAAUCCUCUCCACCAGCUCAGCCUACUACUUUACACAACGAUCCAGCGAUUAUCCAGGUAAAUAUACAUAAAAUGUUAGGCAUCUUUUGGAAGGAUGCUGGAUCUAUUUCUUUUGAAGAAUGGUUUGAUAUUUUAGAUGAUGAAUCUUUGCUCACUAUUUUGUGUAGUCACAUUAUCCUUGUCCUGCCUCUACGAGCUUACCGCCUCCUGCAAGCACAGCAGCUGAUCCUGCCUCACACAAUGGUCAGUCAGGAAUUCAGAUGCCUCCACCAUUGCCCCAAUUUCAACCUGGGGCCAGUUUACCAUCAUGGAACUCAUCACCUAUGCCAUCAUCUGCAAAUGGCGCUCCUGCUAGCACAACAACAGCUGAUCCUGGCUCACACAAUGGUCAGUCAGGAAUUCAGAUGCCACCACCGUUGCCCCAAUAUCAACCUGGGGCCAGUUUACCGUCAUGGAACUCAUCACCUAUGCCAUCAUCUGCAAAUGGUGCUGGCCUUACUAUGCCACCAAUGUACUGGCCAGGAUUUUAUACACCACCAAGUGGGUUUCCUCAUUUGCAACAACCGCCCUUUCUUCGUCCACCACAUGGCUUGACAAUUCCACAGGCCUUGCAGCAGCCCAUACAGUAUCCUGGACUUAAUGCACCUUUACCACCUUUUCCUAGAAUGCCAGAGUUUGCUUUACCACAACCUGGUAGUGGUAAUAACUUGACCCAGAAUCUAGGUGUAUCCACAUCAAUGCCGGUCCCUGCCUUAUCAAGUACUCCAGCAACUGAAUCAUCUGCAAACCAGCUUCCAAAUAUGCUGUCAUCUGUUUCUGCUAGUGUAUUCUCUCUGGGUUUAACUCCCCCAUCUGUUAAUCCGCCAGUCUCUACAAUUGAAUCGACUAUGUCCCAAUCGCAAGGCAUCUCUCCUCUGAUGAACAAUAAGCCAGUCUCACUUCCUCUUGACUCUACUGUACCAUCUGCCAGCAGUAAUAAGCCUAUGAAUAUACCUGUGCCAACCUAUCUACCUUCCUCUCAGCCACCAUUGGCUAAUAUUGCAGCAAGUGCAGCCACUGUUGCAGAACCAGUUACAUUGGUCACUCCUGGCCAACUUCUACCAACCAUUUCAUCUACAGUCCUUUCGGCUGAUGCCUUGGAAACAGCUUCAGCUAUGAUUCCAUCCCCUAAGGCUGCCUCCUCUAUGGUCUCAUCCUCUCAGGCUGCCUUGGCUGCAUCCUCUCAGGUUACUUCCUCUGUAGUUUCACCCUCAGAGGAUCAAUUUGCUUCCUCACCUGUUCCAUCACAUCAACAGCUGGAGCAAAACAAUGAAGAUAGGCACACCAAGAAACCUGAAUGGAAGGCUAAACAACACUCUGUUGCUCCAUCCAACAAGGAACCCCUGUUGCCAGCACCUAAGCCUACUCUUCAGAAGGUAAUAGCAUACUAAAUUUAAUUUUUAUUACACAAGUACAAGGGAAGAUUAUUUUUGGUACCAUUAUUUCCAUACUCAGUUAAUGUGCGCGAUUUGUAUACUCUGUAAUUAGUCCCAUUUUCAAUCCUUUGGUUUCAGCCUGUUGGAGCUUCCUCAUACAUUCAAUACAACAAUAGAGGCCGAGGAAGAGGAAGAGGCCGAGGAAGAGGAAUUGGGGUAUGGUAUCUAAAACAUGUUUUAUACGCCUUCAACUGUUCAAAUGUAGAAAUCCUUAAUGGCUAAAACAUUCUUGGAUUAUUUUCCCUGUUUGGUACUGUUACCAUGUUUGGCUACUGCUCCCAUGUUAGUAUUCUUCUGGAUUUGAUUGUACUCCCUCUGUUUGAAAAUAUAAGGUGUCCUUGUUUUCCACAAAGUCAGCAUUUAAAAUUUUUGACUAUCUGAAAAUAUUUUCAUGCGAUAUUAAUUUUGUAGUUAUUGAUAAUAUAUUAUGAAAGAAAUUAAUGUCAAAGUAUAAUGUUGGAGACUAUUUAGAAACCUAAUACGCCUUAUAUUUUCAAAUGGAGGGAGUAAUGUUUAGUACUGGUUCUAUUCACCUCUCUUCUCUGGGUAUCAUUCUGUACGGUAUUGUGGAUGCCCUUUUCUGAUGUUCGUCAUGUAGGACAGUAUUCUCAACAUUAUUAUUUUCAAAUUCCAAGAUGCUAGGUGUGCAAUACUGAUGUAGGACAAUCAUCUAUUGAUGUCCAGUCAUCAGAUCACAGUUGGGCUCAUUGAUGGAGUAUACAAGAGAGAAUGUGGUUUUUGGUAUUGGAUGAGGAAAUCUCUUGUGGCUAUUGUCAAAAUCAGUUGGAAGUUAUUAGGAUACUCCAUUGUUUUGUAGGUUGUUGAUCAUGUGGCUACAUUUGAUCCUAAUAGGUUGUUGAUUUUGUUUACAAAAUGCUUGUAGAAUAUAGUGUUACUAAAUUCCCAAAUGGCCAAAAUAGCUGGUAUUAAUACUAUUACUCUAGUCCUCCUCAUUUAUUCCUAGCCACGGUAGCACUUUUCCUGGAUGUGUUAGUACACAAUUUAUCUUUCAAUUUGCUGCUUGCCUCCACACUCAUUGCUGUUAUCAUGCUCCCUCUCAGCCACAUUGAAAAUUGCCGUUUAGCUUUGUGCCAUCCACCAUGGGAUGGGAAAAUGGUUUGGCUGUCAAAUAAUUUGGACUACCAGUAGUGAAAGGUAAAUCAUAUGUAAUUGGGUGAAGCAGAUUGCAAGUAGAAAGGCAUUAGUACCUCCUUUGUCUGUCUUUUGACCUAAGAAUAUCUUUAUUCCAAAUGGAGGGAUAUCCAGCCUAGUCUAUCAGUAUUUGGAUAAAGAAUACAUAUGUUUGGCUCCUUUGUUUGCUCUGAUUUCUGAAGUUGGGAAGGAUUUCAAUGCUUUUGAGGGAGGGCUAAUUUGACUCUCCUCUCCUAGCUAGAUUUGCUUGCCCAGGCUAGAAAAAGAACAAAACAUGCCCUUCGUAACUGGGUCAUCAAACUAUUCGAUGAGACCACGUUCCACAUUUGACACUUGUUCUUGAAGUAACUGUUCCCUGUUUUGACACACAGUUUUAGUUGCUUCCUGUAACCCCAUUCCUCGACCUAAAUGCUCCAUGUUCCUGUUAACUAUGAGCAAUUUCAAUAUAUAUAUUUGUCCAAAUCAUGCUAACUAGACUGUCAAAGGCACAUCCCUCUGCUAGCAUAUGAGUUUUGAUGUAUUAUAGGAUGCUGAAAUCUGUUCUGCAUGAAUCAUAUGCUAUGUUAUUGAAAUUGUAAAAUUUGUAUACUUAUUAGUUUCCCCUCUCCAGCAAUCACGUCCUAUAACCAAGUUUACAGAGGACUUCGAUUUCAUGGCAAUGAAUGAGAAGUUUAACAAAGAUGAAGUAUGGGGCCAUCUCGGUAAAAGCAAAGGACAGUUGAACGAUGAUCCUAAUGAGUAUGAAGAUGAUGUUCUAGAAGAUGAUAUUUCUCCUGGGAAGCCAGAAGUUAAGGUAGUAGCGCUGUUGCAUUCUUGCAAUUUGUCAAUAUGUUCGCUGACUAGCAUUUUUCUAUCUCAUCUUUGUGCAGCCUGUAUAUGUCAAAGAUGACUUCUUUGAUUCACUGUCAUGCAAUACCAUUGAUAAUGGAGGGGGGAAUGGAAGAAUCAAAUUCUCGGAGCAGAGAAAAAUAGACACAGAGGUAAUCAACAGUUACACAUUGUGUCUUUCUCGUUUUCACCUUAUGACAACAUGAAGUGCUUAUUAUAGCAAGUUUUGGUUGUAGACUUUUGGUGAUUCUGCAAGGCAUCGGCCCAUGGGCAUGCGUGGAGGAGGGAGGGGUCCCCGUGGUGGACCCCGUGGACGUGGUUACUAUGGGAGGGGGUAUGGAUAUAUGGGAAGGGGGCGCGGCUACUCCUACCCAAACCACCAAUCUUAGUAAGGAGGGCUAUGCUUUUCCAUUCCGAUGAGCAGAUGAAUGGUGGUUGAAUGGUGAUGAAGAAGGAAGAGCUUUUAUGGCUAUAUUUGUAGUGUAAUCUCGCAGGUAUCUCAGGUCCCGGCUUGUUGGCACGAACGGGCCUCAACAACAAAGCAAUCAAUUUGAUAAAUUAAGAAAUUCUCACAACGAGUUUUCUGUAGAGCUUUUACCUGCUUUCCUGAAUCCCUGUCAAUGUUGAUGCUCGUUGCUCUCCCUGAGGAUGCUGAUGGGAUAUAAACUAAAAACUAUUUUGUGAUUCAGCGAAUGAUUAUAUCCAGUGUUAAUUUUGGUACUGUGGGAGCAUAUAUGUUAGUUCUAUCAAAUUGUCAAUGUUUUUAUUGAGCUCAGUGCUUAGUAGCUACAUUUUGGAGCAUUCCGUUUACUGUGUUAUUAUCGAUUUGAUUUAUGUCUACGGCCGCUUGGAUUUGAACUAGUGCAUUGUACAGCUUAACAUCCUAUUGUUCGGAUGAGGCAGCGUUGGUGAUUGAAGCUGAAUGAUCCGAAAGAUACUGUGAGCGAUAUAUAUCAGUGGUAGCGACAAGCAAGCGUGUGGAUGGAGCUCUAGGUUGCUAUGGCAUAACAUACUACUUCGUAAAAAAAAAUGAAUUCUUAGCUAUGAACCUUGUAGGUAGGAUUUUUAUUUUUUUUUUGAACAGAGGGGGUAGUUGUGAAUAUGUAAUGGGUAAAAAGGGUAUGGAUAAGUGGUUAAUCCAAAUAUUAGAAAUCGUUGAUGCCUACUAACUUUUAAAUUCGUAUAAGUGUGUCACAUCAUUACUCACUAAUAAUUAUUAUCUAAUUAUUAUCUAGAGUAUUUUAAAUCACAUGUACUCUCUUCGUCCAAAACAAAUAACCCAAUUCUAUGUCUAGAUUGAAACUCAGAAUUAGGUUCUUUUUUACAGAGGGAGUAAGUAUGAUACAUUAUCAUCUACUAGCAAUUAGUAUUAUCUAGAAUAUUUUAAAUAUCAUACAAAUAUUACAUAUCACUUACAGUUGUGUUGUAUUAUUACAAUAUAUGCAAGUAAAGUCAAAUUAUUAUUAUUAUCUCCACAUCAUUUUCACAUUAUUUAAACAUAUACAUUUACUAUUUCUAUAAUAUAUAUAGCAUGCAUUUAUUCACAUAUCCCGCAGCAAAGCGCGGAGUAUCAACUAUGCCAUGCAAACAAAGUACUCUCUCCGUUUCAUAAUGUAAGUCAUUCUAGCAUUUCCCACAUUCAUAUUGAUGUUAAUGAAUCUAGAGAGAUAUAUAUGUCUAGAUUCAUUAGCAUCAAUAUGAAUAUGGGAAAUGCUAGAAAGUGAAACGGAGGAAGUACUACUUUUUUUUUCUUCAAAAUAGCAAGUGUAUGAGGUAUUUUUCAUGAGAAAGUACUGAUGUUUUACCAAUCAUUCUCUCACCUAUCCGCUAGGAUUAACAUCACCAUUUCCUAUACCAUUCUCUUGAAUUUUAUAAUAGUUAUCUUAAUCUGUGGCCGACCACUUCAAAUGUAUCUUACAUUUUGAUAAUGAAGAAAUAUUGUUGUAACAUGGUACUCUCACCCCUAUUUGGCCCUAUACAAAUACAAGCUAGUGAAUGGCAACAAGGGAUGGGCUUCUACUCGAUUUAUCCUAUGCCUAAGUAAUUUCUUGGUAGCUUGUCUUAUGACCUGUUCCCAGCAAGUUUUUCCCAAAAACAUCACAUCGAAUCUUUGGACACAUGCAUGGAGAAUUAAAUAUAGAUUUUUUAAAAAAACUAAUUGCACAGUUAGGGAGGAAAUCGCGAGACGAAUCUUUUGAGUCUAAUUAGUCCAUGAUUAGCCAUAAGUGCUACAGUAACCCAUAUAUACUAAUGAUAGAUUAAUUAGGCUCAAAAUAUUCGUCUCGCGGUUUCCAGGCGAGUUAUAAAAUUAGUUUUUUUUAUUCGUGUCCGAAAACCCCUUCUGAUAUCCGGUCAAACGUCCGAUGUGACACCCAAAAAUUUUCUUUUCACGAACUAAACAGGCCCUUAAUUUGCCGACUUGUAUCCCUAUAAUAUAGGGGAAAAGUUGAACAAAUCUUAAUAAACUUCAUAUGAAUAAAACUGAUUGAACUUCAAAUAUAUAUUAUAAAAACUCUACUAACCCUUCUCGGUAUAUCCUUUUGGAUCUCCAAUAUCGAAUGCUUGAAAGGCAUCAUCUGAAUAUUAUGAUUACAUCACGUCAGGCAUAUUCUCAACUUCACUUUUGUGCAUUUGACUUGCAUGAAUCUGGAUAUAGAAUAUGCAGUUGCAUCAAUGAUCAACCAUUCAUCCACAAGCCAAAAGUAAACCUAUAUUUUAUUAACUGAAUUAAGGUGCUGACUUUGCAAAGUCAACAUCUUAAUUAAGGGAAGAAUAACAGAUUAUUAUGUCCAGAUACUUCUUCAUCAAGUGUGCAGUGUGUUGCUUCAUGCCUUCUUAUACUGUUGUACAUAUCUGUUGUGAUAAGAGAAAAUCACAACAGCCACAUUUAAAAACUGAUCUGAAAGGUUGCUAGCUCGGUUUACUCUAACCUUAAUGGAGAAAACAUUUCUGUAACAUUAUUCACUCUUGGACAUCAGAAAUAUCCCAUUUGGAACAAUUAUUCCUUUGAAAAAUAGCACAUCCAAAAUUCUCGGUGAAAAUUUUACCGUGGUAUAACAGAACUUAUGUCUCAGUUAAUUUCUCUUGGUUCUAUACUAUUCUAUCCUUGUUAUUGAAUACGAGGUAUUGACAAUAUAGAACUUAUGACCGCACACAAUAUAUAUACAUAACACACAAAGUAUCUUGGAUCGUCAAAUCAAAAUGGUAUUAGGAGAAUUUUUGGUCAUAUGUUUAUACUCUCUUCAGGAAAUGUUUUAUUAAAAAAUGAACAAUCAAGCGCAUAUGGUAAUAAGAAUAGUUCGUGGUGAUAAUAAGCAUAUGGUAAAACUUGUAUGUGGCCGCAACAUGUGCUAUCCAGUUAAAAUUCAUGCCAUAUCCUACUUUAAUUAUAGUAAUAGGAUUGUAGUAAUUAUAGAGAUUCAUGAACUAUGCAAGAUAUAUAUAGGUUGAGUUGACAAAACUAUACUGUGUAAAUUAAAGCAAAUAUGCUACAGUUAUAUACUUAUCAAAUAUACUACUCUGUUAAAAAAAUAUAAAUAUAUCUAUAGGUUAUUUAACAUAGAUUAAAGCUACGGCAAUGCUCCUCACCAGGGGCGGAUUCAGGAAUAAAAAGUUAAGGGGCUCAAUUACAUAUUUUCUUCAACCUCCAGCCAUAUAAGGACGUUUAAUUUAUCAUUCAUGGUGAAAAAAUCGAGGGGGUGCUCUGAGGGGUAUCCAUGGGUUUUAUUGGUGUAGGGGGGACUUUGUCCCCCUGCACCCAUGUUGGAUCCGCCCCUGCUCCUCACUAAUUAAGGGUGGAUCGGUGGUGGGAGAAUGAUUAUGUUAAGAAAUUUCUUACCAUAAGACAGUAAUAUUUGAGCACAACUAAAGGAAUAUGUCGGAGUGUCCUACCACAGUUGUUGAGCUGGUAAGUUAUUCUUUGAGAGUGUAUAUUGUUCCAUUCGCAAUUGCAUUACACUAAACUCCUAUAUCUCUAUAACACCAGAUAUUUCUUGCAAUGGUUCAUCGUACUCAGGGUUCUGAAUACCCUUUUUUUUCUAAAGAAACAUAAUGAUACCCCCGAAAUUAAGCCAGUAACCCACAGUUACCAGCCAAAUAUUUUACUUCAAAUUUUUUUGAAUUGGCAUUAAGUUAGAUAAAUACUCCCUCUAAACCAUGCAUUUAAGUAUUUUCAAAGUUCAUUUUUUUUUCUACAACUCCCUCCAUCCUAAAAUAUCAAUCAUAUUUUUUCCAUGUCUCAUAAUAUAAGGUAUAGAUGCAUGCAUGCAAUAAAUUAGCACAUCCCUCUCCUUUUAAUUUGUUUUCUCAAAUCCUCCAUCCUCAACAUCUCUAUUCCCAUUGGAUGUAUGGAUUGUAUUUAUUGGAGUGAUUAAAAUGAAGAGACGAUUAUAAUUAUUUCUUGAUCUUUCCAUUACUAGUGGUUAUGGCUUAUCAUUUAGGGUAGAUGGAAUACUUUCUUAUCUCAAGGCCCGUUCUUUUCUGAUUAAGAUGCAAAUUUUACUUGUAUUUUCAUUAUCACGUUUUUCAAACUGCUAAACAGUGCGUUUCAUGUGAAAACUUUACUAUAUAAAAGUUGCUUAAAAUAUCAAAUAAAUCUAUUUUCCAAGUUUAUAAUAAUUAAACUCAAUUAUUCUCAUUUUACACGUCCUUCCUUAUUUUUAAUCUUCAUCUAUCUGAAACGGAGAACGAGGGCAUCAAGUGUUAAGGUUAUGGAUGAGACAUACCCCGUGAUCUUGUGUUAAGCUCGGUAGGGCCCACCAUAGACCAAGUCUUAUGUGUAAUCAUGCCUCAUAUACGGAAGGUAUUCCGAAUAAGGUAGGAGAAGUAGAGUUCUAAGUUGGAAACUACAAGGCCACUUGGAUCAUAUCCAUAUUUGUUUCCUAGUUUUACUUGGACAAGGGGAUAUUUAUGGGUAUAAAUAACAGACCCCUAGGAGGAGAGGGGACAUGCUCAGUCAUAACAUACACCAAUACGCGCUGUCAGACAUCAACAUUAGAGAUAAGAUUAGACGUACCCAAUCUAGAGCUACAGAGGCUGCCAAGAGAGAUCUAGCGCUAUCUCUAAUCUCGCCGAGUUCAUAUUUGAGGAAAAAGACUACCCCAUCGUUGACUACGUUUGGUGUUCCAUGCCACCAAGUCGACGAUGACUAGAUAUGUUAUCCUAAAUAUUGUACUUGUAUGGUUCUGAUAAAUAAGAGUAACACCGGCUUCGGCCAACAGGAGUAGGACUAUUACCUUACAGAUAAGGGGCCCGAACCUAUAUAAAAAUCAUUGUCUCUGUCUUUUUUACCUCGAUCUAGCAUAUACCCUGGUGUUAACAACCAAAUUUGGUAACAUCGGUAUCAGGAAAGAAGAUUGGAUCAAAGCGAAGUCGGAAGCGGAGAUCGAGUUUGGAAACAGAGCAGGAAUCGGCUGGAGUCCAGAUCGGCUACGGUUAGGAUCGGCUAGGUCUGAGUCGGGCUAAGUAAAGCCGAUACAGCCGAUUCCGACAAUAUGACUUGUACACGACAUCGGGUUCAAGUUAAUGUACUUCAAGAUGAUUGCCACGCACGGAUAGAGUCCUGGGAAAGCAAUUGUAUCUAUUAAUUAGGAUAUCCUAUGUAAAUUCCUUAUAGAUAAAUAUGGGCAAAAGUCUGCCGUAAAGACUUAUGGUAUCUUAGAGUUUGUUAGAGAUAAUAGUCGUGUCCGGUAUGGGCAUAUCUUGUAAUUCUCGGGUAUAAAUAGACCCCGAACCCUAUGUAAUUUAACAACACAUGUUCAACACAAUUUCGGCGCAUCGCCACCCUUUUUGUUUUAGUUUUGUUUCGACGAGUUCUUGCUUUCGGGUUAAGCUGCAUCGAUUUUGAUCUUCAACAAGAGGUAAAAUUCGUUAUGACGGAUUGCAUUCUUAGGAUUAGUGCUUCCAUCUUUAUGAUACUCUAAUCCUGUUUAUGUAAUUCGUCGAGUUAUCAUAUGUCUUACAUAAUCUCUAGCAAUAUCAUCAUCUAACCUGCCAUCGGUUAACAUCUGUUAAUAGAGGGUAGCCGAUUAGGUUAAAUAUUGAUGUUGAUCUAGAUUAUAUGAGAUAUCUACCAUUCUAUGAAACUUCUAGCGGCUUGAUUGUCUAGAUAUCGUUCUUCUUUUCAUACUUAAUGCUGCAUCAGUUGAGUUUGAUCUAUUAAGUCGUGCUUAGAAUAUCGAUCUCUAGCCUGCCCUCUAGUUGCCGAUUAGAAUAGCAUCGAAGUUUCAGUCGAUCGUAUCUGAUUUAACUUCAUUUGUUCUAUAUGCUCCAUUGCAUGUUAAAUCUGCCCUUUAUAUUAAGAUAUCGCUGUAUCUAAAUAUGUUAGGCUUUUGCUCAAUAUACUGUACUUACUUUAAUAUCCUGAUAUAGAGUAGAAUCGGAGUAUUAGCCGAUACAUGCUAGAUCUAUCUGAUCGGCUAUGCUAUAAACAUAUAUAGUCUUGUUAUUGACAUAUAUUUCGAUCUAAGUGAUUUAUACUGUCUCGGCAUGAUGACCGAUCUAUCCCAAUCACUUGAUUUAAGUAUACAUUGAUAUAAGGAGUAUAUAUUGUUAAUAUUUAAAGCCGAUCGAGUAGAUUUAGUCCUUCUUUACUUAUUCAUGACCGCCGAUCGAUGCACAGAUGACAUCGGCUUAAAGGUAAAUGAUAUGUCAUCGGCAUCUAGCCGAUCGGCUAUCACUUAUAGAUUUAACCACAGUUGCUUUGUUUCUAUUUCUUGUUGAUUACAGGAUCAAACCAACUGGCAUGCUAACAACAUUCGAAGGCGAGCUUUGGACCUGUACUGGAGUUAAGUAGAUCUCCUAGGCCACGUGUUUUCUGUCAACACGCUUUUGGCACGCCCGGUGGGACCUGUAAGAAGUCAGACGCCAGUUCUUCCUCAUGGCCGAGAAACAGCCACCACCACCAUCUAGCCCAGGUUCCGUUAAAGGCAAGGCGUUGAAGCAGGGAUUGACUGACAUCAUUGAUGACAACGUUAUGCCGAUCGAUCCAGAGAAAUUCACGCCUGAGCAAAAGGCGGAGUUUGAAGCAACCCUGCGCAGGCACGGGAUCAGUUCUUGAACUCAUUCAUGCAGACCCGCAAGGGGACACUUGUUCAGAAGUAUAAAAUAAAAGUGAUUGCUGAUAGUUCUGGGACCGGUUCUUCUAGAGAUGGAGAGGUGAAACAAGCUCCAGGCGGCUCGGCUCAGCCAAGUACUAAAGGUGCUACCGACGGCUCCCCAAGCGAUCAAGGCGACAAUCUGCAAGGAGCGCAUGGGGCUCAAGGUGAUGGUGCUCAAGGGCCGCAAGGAGGAAAUCUUAAUCAGAAUAGUGAGCUAGCACAAGAUUUUUUCAAUAACUUCUAAGAUCGGGUCGAUUACGCUGUGCAUCAUGCUUUGAUCAAUCGGUCAGGAGUACUAGUCAAUACAUUGUCGAACAUGAUGAAGACAAUAGCCGAUGGCUCAAUAGCUGAGCAUCAGGCCGUAGGCCCGGUUUAUUUGCAAGGAGGUGUCUUCCCGAAUUAUCGAUCUUUGAUCACCGAUGUUCAGCCACCUGUUCAAGCAGUUCCCUUUGUUGCAACCACAACUCAGCUGACGGCGCCGGCAUCAACUCCCCUACCUGCUACAUCAGCUAUGGCGCCAGGCCAGCCGAUGAACCCUUGGUUGUUGAUAAGGGAGCAUCCACACCCUACUGGGCAGAUUGCGAAUCGGCCGACCCAAGAUCAAGUUGCUGCCAUGUUUCUGCCACCUCCACCUAUUGUUGAUCCAGUGCAGCAGCAGCCGAUUCAGCAGACACCACCAAUCCAGCCAGUUGUACAACCAGUCCAACAACAGGUCGUACAACCAGCUCAGCUAACACCACCAAGGCAGCAGCUUUAGCAGCCGAUGCAACAGACUCCGUUGAGACAGCAGACUGUUCAGCCGAUUCGGCACCCGGGGUCAAUAAAUGCAUCGGCUGAGUUUGCAGCACCUGGUGGUCAACCUGUACAACAGUUUGUAAAUUAGGUCAUCCCAGAACAUUUGGUUCACCAUGCACAGCCGGACGGCACAGUGAUGCCUCAGAUGGUCCCUGAGAACACUUGGUGCGCAACAUCCAGCCGAAUCUUCAUAAUUACCAAGAGGGUAACCUGGGCUAUCAAUAUCAGCCUCCUUCCCCGCAAGCCCAAUAUCAGCCAGGGGGAUUGGCUCAACCCCAGUUCACAUCUCAGUAUGGUCAGUUCGAGUCCAUGCAACAACAGCCACAAGGAGAAACUCAGCAACGACCGUGGGCCGAUGUGAUUGCCGAUGUAAUGAGAGAACAAUUUGGGCUUAAACCAAAAGAGACUGGAAGCUUGUAUCGGCAGCCUUAUCCUGAGUGGUUUGAAAGAGUCCCUCUCCCCAAUCGGUUUAAAGUUCCAGAUUUCUCCAAGUUUUUGGGACAAGAAGGCGUGUCAACUUAUGAGCACAUCAGCCGAUUCCUUGCUCAAUGUAGUGAAGCAUCGGCUGUAGACGCUCUGAGAGUUAGGUUAUUCCGGUUAUCUCUGUCUGGAUCAGCUUUUACUUGGUUUUCUUCUUUGCCAUAUGGGUCGAUCAAUAGUUGGGCCGAUUUGGAGAAGCAAUUUCACAGCUAUUUUUACAGUGGGGUUCAUGAGAUGAAGUUGUCCGACUUGACAGCGAUCAAGCAGCGGCAUGAUGAACCCAUGCACGAGUAUAUUCAGAGGUUCAGGGAGAGGAGGAACAAAUGCUUUAGCUUGAGUUUGACUGAUGCUCAACUAGCCGAUUUGGCCUUCCAUGGUAUGAUUCCUCCGAUCAGGGAGAAGUUCUCGUCCGAAGACUUUGAUAGCUUAUCGCAUCUGAUACAGAAGGUAACCUUGCAUGGGCAUAGGUCGGCGGAAGUCAGGAAAAGCUCUAAGAAAGUUAAUCACGUUUGUCCAUACAUGUAUGGGUCGGAUGACGAGGAAGAUGAUUCUGAAAUAGCUGCAGCCGAAUGGGUGAGGAGCAAAAAGGUCAUACCAUGCCAAUGGGUGAAAAGUCCUGGAAAAGAGGAAAAGUAUGACUUUGAUAUCACCAAGGCUGACAAGAUCUUUGAUUUACUACUCCGAGAAAAGCAGAUUCAGCUUCCUGCGGGUCAUACAAUACCAUCGGCUGAGGAAUUAGGCAAGAAGAGAUAUUGCAAAUGGCAUAAUUCUAGAUUUCAUUCUACUAACGAUUGCAAGGUUUUUAAACAGCAAUUCCAAGUUGCCAUUGCUGGGGGCAAGAUUAGGUUUGAUGAUUCCAAGAAGCCGAUGAAGGUCGAUGGUAAUCCUUUUCCUGUUAAUAUGGUGCAUACAGCUGGUCAAGCAGCCGAUAGGGCCCGUGCAAAGGGUUUUCAAGUAAAUUCGGCUAAGAUUAUCAACAAGUAUCAAAGGAAGUAUGAUAAGCAGUAGGAGAGGCAUUACGAAGAAUACGACGAUGGUUUUGAUCCCCAUUGGGGUUGGGGGUUCUUUAGAUUCUGCUGGAACGAAGGGAUGAGGUUGCCGUCCAUCGAAAACUGUCCCGGGUGCAGCGAUGUAGUCGAAAGCUCGAGCCGGUCAUAUAGUAGAGGUAAUCGGCUAAGGCAGGCAAGACUUCCUGUUCAUCAGAGAUUGGGUCCGAUGAAUCAAGAUUGUGACCAAGCGGAUGAGGUAAUCAGGAAGAAUCAAUGGUGUCCUUCUGGUAUUUUCACGAAGAAUCAGAAAAGAAGGGUUCAGAGAUUGAGGAACAGGGAGCGUUUUCAGGAGGUUGAAGAGGAAAUCAACCAUCGGCUGAGGAAACCAAAGCCAAGACAGGAGUGGCGUGUCAAGAAUUAGGUUCCUGUAGCCGAUGAUGCUGCAGCCGAUGAGGCGAAGAGGUUGGCAAAAGGGAAAAGCGUUGUAGCGGCACCAAUUAACAUGGUCUUUACAUUGCUAGCCAAAUUCGGGAUCGAUCAGGCCGAUGUCGAUGAAGUGGAAGAGGGAUCAGCUAAGUUGGUUCUGUCACCAGAACAGACAAUAUUCGAGAAACCUGAGGGGACAGAGAAUCGGCAUCUUAAACCGUUGUAUAUAAAUGACUACGUCAAUGGGAAGCCGAUGUCUAAGAUGAUGGUCGAUGGUGGGGCCGCGGUGAAUUUGAUGCCUUACGCUACGUUUAGAAAGUUGGGUAGAAACGCCGAGGAUCUUAUCAAGACAAAUAUGGUGCUCAAGGACUUUGGUGGUAAUCCAUCGGAAACCAGAGGUGUUCUAAAUGUGGAGCUUACAGUCGGCAGCAAGACUAUUCCUACCACAUUUUUUGUCAUCGAUGGGAAGGGUUCGUACAGCUUGUUGCUUGGAAGGGAUUGGAUUCACGCCAAUGGUUGCAUUCCUUCGACUAUGCAUCAAUGCUUGAUUCAAUGGCAAGGCGACAAGAUAGAGAUCGUGCCAGCCGACAGGUCAGUUAAUGUUGCCAGUGCCGAUUUAGCCCUUUGGGAGAUGGAUGGCCUUGAUUGUUUAUCUGGAAAAGUCUGGGAUGGAGAUUUUCUAAAAGUGUCUGAUUCUGAUAUACAACAAAUUGAAGAUGGAGAACCCAAGCUAUUACUUUGAGGGCGUCGUGGAGGGUUCGAAUGUCUACGCCAAGGAUACGGUAGAUGAUCUCGAUGACAAGCAAGGUCAAGGUUUCAUGUCGGCCGAUGAGUUGGAAGAAAUAGACAUAGGUCUAGGCGAUCGGCCAAGGCCGACAUUUAUUAGCAAAAAAUUGUCUCCAGAGUUUAGAACCAAGCUGAUAGAGCUCCUGAAAGAGUUUAGAGAUUGCUUUGCUUGGGAGUAUUAUGAGAUGCCUGGACUCAGCCGAUCGAUUGUUGAACAUCGGCUACCUAUCAAGCCAGGGGUUAGACCACGCCAGCAACCUCCGAGGAGAUGUAAAGCUGAUAUGCUCGAACCUGUUAAAGCUGAGAUCAAACGAUUGUAUGAUGCUGGUUUUAUUCGUCCCUGCCGAUAUGCUGAAUGGGUUUCUAGCAUAGUCCCAGUUAUUAAAAAGAAUGGCAAGGUUAGGGUGUGCAUUGAUUUUCGAGAUUUGAAUAAAGCUACACCAAAGGACGAAUAUCCAAUGCCAGUGGCUGAUCAGCUGGUUGAUGCCGCAUCAGGGAACAAAAUUUUGAGUUUUAUGGAUGAGAACGCAGGAUAUAAUCAGAUCUUUAUGGCUGAGGAAGAUAUCCAUAAGACGGCUUUUAGAUGCCCUGGUGCAAUCGGCUUAUUUGAAUGGGUCGUCAUGACUUUCGGCUUGAAGAGUGCUGGAGCAACAUAUCAAAGAGCCAUGAAUUAUAUAUAUCAUGAUUUAAUCGGCUGGUUGGUUGAAGUUUAUAUUGACGAUGUGGUUGUCAAAUCUAAAGAAGUGAAGGAUCACAUAUCCGAUUUGAGGAAAGUUUUCGAGAGAACCAGAAAAUAUGGCUUGAAGAUGAAUCCAAUAAAAUGUGCUUUUGGUGUGUUGGCCGACCAGUUUUGGGAUUUCUUGUUCAUGAAAGGGGGAUCGAGGUAACCCAAAGGAGCGUUAAUGCGAUCAAGAAGAUUCAGCCCCCGGAAAAUAAGACAGAGCUACAAGAGAUGAUCGGCAAGAUAAAUUUUGUUAGAAGGUUCAUUUCUAAUUUAUCUAGAAGGUUGGAACCUUUUACACCCUUAUUAAGGUUAAAAGCCGAUCAGCAAUUUACUUGGGGGGCAGAGCAGCAAAAGGCUUUGGAUAAUAUUAAGGAGUAUCUUAGCUCUCCUCCUGUUUUGAUUCCUCCACAGAAAGGAAUACCGUUUAGGUUAUAUUUAUCGGCUGGUGAGAAGUCCAUCGGCUCGGUUUUGAUUCAAGAGUUGGAAGGGAAGGAACGAGUUGUGUUUUAUCUCAGUCGACGGCUCUUGGACGCUGAAACUCGGUAUUCUCCUGUGGAGAAGUUAUGCUUGUGCUUGUAUUUUUCGUGUACAAGGUUGAGGCAUUAUCUAUUAUCUAAUGAGUGCACUGUUAUAUGCAAAGCCGACGUAGUCAGGUACAUGCUAUCGGCUCCAAUAUUAAAAGGAAGAGUUGGGAAGUGGAUAUUUUUUCCUUGACUGAGUUUGAUCUUCGGUACGAAUCACCGAAAGCGAUUAAGGGGCAAGCUAUAGCCGAUUUUAUUGUAGAGCAUUGUGAUGAUUCAAUCGGCUCGGUUGAGAUAGUGCCAUGGACUUUAUUCUUUGACGGAUUGGUAUGUACUCAUGGUUGUGGCAUCGGCUUAGUUAUAAUUUCCCCUAGGGAGGCAAGUUUCGAGUUUGCUUAUACUAUUAAACCAUAUGCGACCAAUAAUCAAGCUGAGUAUGAAGCAGUGCUCAAGGGGUUGCAAUUGCUCAAGGAAGUUGAAGCCGAUACCAUUGAAAUCAUGGGGGAUUCUUUGCUAGUAAUCAGCCAAUUGGCAGGAGAAUAUGAAUGCAAGAACGAUACAUUGAUGGUUUAUAAUGAGAAGUGCCUGGAACUAAUGAAAGAGUUUCGGCUGGUUACUUUAAAGCAUAUAUCUCGAGAACAAAAUCUUGAAGCUAAUGAUUUAGCCCAAGGGGUAUCGGGGUAUAAGCCAAUGACCAAAGAUGUUAAAGUUGAAAUUGCAGCGAUGACAGCCGAUGAUUGGAGGUACGAUGUGCAUCAGUAUUUGAGUAAUCCAUCUCAAUCGGCUUCUAGGAAAUUAAGAUAUAAGGCAUUAAAGUAUACACUGUUGGAUGAUGAGCUUUAUUAUCGGACGAUUGACGGAGUAUUACUUAAGUGCUUGAGUGCCGAUCAGGCUAAGGUUGCAAUCGGCGAAGUUCAUGAAGGGAUCUGUGGUACUCAUCAAUCGGUUCACAAGAUGAAGUGGUUGCUUCGGCGUGCAGGGUACUUUUGGCCGACAAUGCUGGAAGAUUGUUUCAGAUAUUACAUGGGGUGUCAGGAUUGUCAAAAGUUCAGAGCAAUUCGGCGAGCACCGGCGUCGGCUAUGAAUCCUAUUAUUAAGCCAUGGCCGUUCAAAGGUUGGGGAAUUGAUGUGAUCGGUAUUAUAAACCCACCAUCGAGUAAAGGACAUAAAUUUAUAUUGGUGGCAACUGAUUAUUUCACCAAGUGGGUAGAGGUGAUUCCUUUGAAGAAAGUUGAUUCUGGGGAUGCUAUUCAAUUUGUUCAGGAGCAUAUAAUCUACCGAUUUGGUCUUCCUCAAACUAUUACUACGGAUCAAGGUUCAAUCUUCGUGUCCGAUGAGUUUGUUCAGUUUGCCAAUAGCGUGGGUAUCAAGUUGUUGAAUUCUUCACCUUAUUAUGCACAAGCUAAUGGGCAAGCCGAGGCGUCUAAUAAAAGUUUGAUCAAAUUGAUUAAGCAGAAAAUUUCUGAUUAUCCUCGGUAAUGGCAUGCUCGGUUGGCCAAAGCAUUGUGGUCUUAUCGGAUGGCUUGUCAUGGAUCGAUUCAAGUUCCUCCUUACAAACUUGUUUAUGGUCAUGAGACUGUUUUGCCAUGGGAGGUUAGAAUCGGCUCUCGACGAACGGAGUUGCAAAACAAUUUAACAGCCGAUGAGUAUUAUAACUUUAUGGCUGAUGAGAGGGAGGAUUUGGUUCAGUCACGAUUGCGAGCCCUUGCAAAGGUUACUAAGGAUAAGGAACGUGUUGCUCGGCAUUAUAAUAAGAAAGUGGUACUUAAAGAUUUUUCGGAAGGAGAACUUGUAUGGAAGCUGAUUUUGCCGAUUGGUACUCGUGAUAGUAAAUUCGGCAAGUGGUCGCCGAAUUGGGAAGGACCAUUCCAAAUUCAUAAGGUUGUGUCUAAGGGAGCAUAUAUGUUGCAAGGGCUUGAUGGCGAAGUUUAUGGGCGAGCGCUCAAUGGCAAAUAUUUGAAGAAAUAUUACCUAAGUGUUUGGGUUAACGUAUGAUCGGCUCAUAUUGCCGAUGCAUGACAGCCAAUGUGUUUACAUCGCCUUCAGAUAGCCGAUAUUGUUAUAUCGCCCUUAAUUGUUUUUUCCUGGUGUAAUCUGUUGUGGUUUGCUGAUAUACAAUGGCCGAUAUUGUUCUAUCGCCCUUAGUUGUUAUAUAAUUUUAUCAAUGCUCUUGACAUUGUAAAACUAGGGGGGGCACAUAUAUAAAAAACGCAGUGCAAAAAAAAAAUUCUAAGUCUUAUUACACAAAAAUUAUUGAGAUAAGUAUCGCUGGAUGGCCGAUAUAGCCUUCUGCCUAAUCUGCUCUACUUCUUCUAUGGCUUGGGCAUCUUGAGCGUCGGUUCCAGGGAUAACUUUCAGAGACUUGGUCAGAUCAGCAACAUGCCUGAUAGCCGAUUUGAGUCUUGCUGUCUGUUCUUCAAUAGACUUUGGGAGAUUAGCUAACUUCUUGUGCUCCAUAUCCAGCUUAGCGUUGCAUUCUUCAAGUUGUGCUAAGAGUUCAAUUUUGCGAGCCUCGAGCCGAUCAAUGUUAGACUUGAUUGGGCCUUCAGAUAGUUGAUCAAGCUUGGACUUCUCUUCAUGCACAAGUUGUCGGUUGACUUGGAUAGUGGCUUCAAUGUCCUUGCGUUCUCGCCGUUCAGCCAGUCUUAACUUGGCUUUCUCCAGUUUGAAUUGGUGUUGCUCAAGGUAAACGGCUGGGGUGAGCAUAUCGGCUAACUCAUCUGGGAUUAGAACCUGAAUCUCAUGUAGCCGAGCCCUGAUUGAGCCACAAUCAACCACCAAGCUAUCCAUUGAUGAUGCUUCUAGCCGGUCCAAGAUACUUUCUAGAGUUUUUCUUUACAUCAUCAGAUAAAGGGGCUAAGGCUUUGCUCAUGGUAUCUUCUUCUCCUUCAUCAAGAUAGUCUCUGAUGUUAAAAGAGAAAAGAUCGGCUAGUACCUGCAGUGACAAUUUAGAAGUGGUUAGAGGUUAAAUAGUCAUAGCCGAUUUGAAUGCUUGUUGAGACAAAGAGAAACUUACUGGGAUAGCAGGAGUAGCUGGUUGUUCUUUUUCCUCGACGUGAUGACUCCCCACAGCUGAAGGGGUCUGGUCACUUGACGAUUGUUGUACAGGAGGAGAAGGAGGAGGGGAAGGCUGAAAGGAAACAAGUGUCAGAUAAAAUCGGCUAAAAAAUUAACUAAUUAAAGUUGAAACUAUCUUACUGGUGGAAUUGGUUUAGAUGUUGUUGCAGCCGAUUUCUUCUUCACCGCAGUCUUCUUUUUCUGCAAUUAUAAGACUUGGGAAUGAUUGGCUAUAAGACAAAAUAAUUAUGAAAGGGAUUAAAGAGAGAUACUUACCCUUGAAAAGUGAACCGGAGCAGAAGGGGUUGGAGGGGUUUGCUUAGGUGAAGCCGAUGGUGUUCUUUCAGCAUCGCUUACUUCGGCUGUGGCCUGAUCAACUUCGUCUUCAAUUAUCUCUUCAUCCAGAGCUUGUUCAAUGGAUGGAUCUAGGGUAGGCAGAUCAUCGGUUGACUUGGUUUUCUUUGUCUUCGUCUUCUUAGUUGGAGCUACGACGCUUACAGCCGACGAUCUGGUUUUCCUCUUUUUGCCGGCAUCGGCUGGUUCUCUGACGAGCCCUUGAAGAAGAGCCGAGGUCUUGGGGGCAUCAUAGCCGAUAACCGGAGGAGAUAGCCCACCUCCGUUAGGAAUUAAACCUGGGGCAUAUUGGAUGUCUUUGCCACUGUUGCUUUGAUGAGGAGGGGAGGAUUCUGUUGUCUGCAAAUCAAAAGGAGGAUUAGUUGAGAUUAAUUGGCCAAACAGCUAUUUAAAUGAAAUUGAGCAAAGUUGAAGACUUACUUGGGGGACAACAUCUGGAAAGAGGUCUGUCAUAUACAUUGAAGCUGGUUGGUGGAAUAAAUGCAGUUUCCAUUCACCCCACCACCUGUCAAAGCUCUUGCUUCCAAACGUUGCCAGUUCUAUGUUGUCAAUACUGCCCAGAGGGGGUCCUUGAAGGCUAAGCAGCUGAUCCAUCAUCAGGGUCGAUGAAAUUUCUCCUCGGCAUUGGAUCUUGUCGGCAAAGAAUAAGCCGAUUGGGAGUUGGCCCAUUCCAAGUUGUCUAGCUGAGCUCAUUGGAUGAUAGAAUUCAUAAGAAGCCUUGAUGUUUCUUCCUUGAUGAAUGCCAACAGGAAGGAUGCAUGGGCUAAUUGCAACUGAGAAAAUUUCCCUGGAUGAUUGGUAUACUUCAUGGUUAAUGUCUUCGAAUCUGAAGUCCACUGGGUGUUCAAGUUCUGCAGAGUCUUCAUAAAGAAACCAAACUCGAGCAUCUUUUUGAAAGCUUUCAUAGAAGCUGCAAAACCAAUCUUUGAGCAGUUCAGCCGAUAAUUUUGCCCCAGCAUCAGUUGGUGUAGAAGCGUAUUCUCCAUAUGAUGUGCAUCUCCGAUGAGUACGCUCUUCUCCAUCAUCCCCUACAAUCGGCUCUAGUCUUGGGAAUUCAGCUUCUGAUACGGAUGGCCGAUUGACAACCUUCAUAACUAUCAGGUUUAACCAGGAUUGUAGCAGCCACCAGGGUCCACCUGCUCCAACUACUGAGCCGACGGCUAUCUUAGCUGAUGCAUUGUUCAACAUCUGGUAUAGAUAGCCGAGAAGAAUUUUGCCCAAGGGGAAUUGUCUCUUUGUUUCUAGAGCUUCAGCUAGAAAUUGCCAGUUGGUUGUGGGGCCGCAACUUGAUCCACAGAACAGAUAUUUUUCUAGCCACAUUAACAGAAAAGCCACAUGUUCCCGAGGGGUGACCGAGCCCUGGCCCAUAUAUGCCACUACAUAGCCUGACCAACCUCCUAUGCUUUUGGUCUUGAAGUCAUAUUGGUUCUUUGUGUUCAAGCUCAUAGGGUUGGCCGAUGAGAUGACAUCCAGAUCUGAGAUCAUGAUGAUAUCUAUGAGAGUUGGGGUCAUCGGCCCUUGAUUGAACAAAAAGGCAUUAAUGGUGUUUGACCAGAAGUAGGAAGCAGCUGCCAUCAGGGGUUCAUCUUUGGCCGAGUUUGCUAUAGUAAGGUCAAGUGCUUGGCCGAUUCCAACUUCAUCCCAGUGAACCCUCUUGCUGGCUGAUACACGUUUGAACCAUGUAGUCCAACUCUUUUCUGGUGGAACUUUCUCUAAAGACGGCCAGGACUUGAAAGUAUUCUUCCAGCGAUUUAGAUCUAGGUUGGUUAAUCUGAAGGGGAUCCUAUUGGUUUCACCAAUAAUGAACUCGGUAGGGUCUGGAUUGCCGACUGGGCCAAGAAAGUAGUGGUUUUCAUGCGACAGACUGGGAAUCGCAACUAGGUUGGAGAGGUGCUACAAAUCCAAGGUGAUUCAGAGGAAGAGAGCAAUAUGAGAUAGGAGAAGAUCGAUCUACUGCUAAAGAAAGGGAUUUAGCCGAUGAGAACUUACCUCAGCAUAUUCGGCUGAUGGUGCACCAGAUGGGUUGGUGGAAGAAGACAUUGUUGCAGGCGGAGAUCUCGUCAAGGAGAGAGUCGCCUAGAAAUCGCCUUUGCGCCGGAGGAGUCGCCGGAGAAGAAAGAGAAGAGGUUUCGCUUGAGCGGUGAAAACGGAAGUCACGGCGUGAGAUUUCUCGGGGGUAACGGUUAGUAUUUAAAGCGCUGGAAUAACGGUCAAAAGCGGCGGAGUGUGAAACUUGCUCGGAGUCGGUACACGGCAAAUCCGGAACAUUAUCGAAUAUCCCGGACUUGGGGGCAGGUGUUAACAACCAAAUUUGGUAACAUCGAUGUUAGGAAAGAAGAUUGGAUCAAAGCGAAGUCGGAAGCGGAGAUCGAGUUCGGAAACAGAGCAGGAAUCGGCCGGAGUCCAGAUUGGCUACGGUUAGGAUCGGCUAGGUCUGAGUCGGGCUAAGUAAAGCCGAUACAGCCGAUUUCGACAAUAUGACUUGUACACGACAUCGGGUUCAAGUUAAUGUACUUCAAGAUGAUUGCCACGCACGGAUAGAGUCCUAGGAAGGCAAUUGUAUCUAUUAAUUAAGAUAUCUUAUGUAAAUUCCUUAUAGAUAAAUAUGGGCAAAAGUCUGCCGCAAAGACUUAUGGUAUCUUAGAGUUUGUUAGAAAUAAUAGUCAUGUCCGGUAUGGGCAUAUCUUGUAAUUCUCGGGUAUAAAUAGACCCCGAACCCUAUGUAAUUUAACAACACACGUUCAACACAAUUUCAGCGCAUCGCCACCCUUUUUGCUUUAGUUUUGUUUCGACGAGUUCUUGCUUUCGGGUUGAGCUGCAUCGAUUUCGAUCUUCAACAAGAUGUAAAAUUCGUUAUGACGGAUUGCGUUCUUAGGAUUAGUGCUUCCAUCUUUAUGAUACUCUAAUCCCGUUUAUGUAAUUCGUCGAGUUAUCAUAUGUCUUACAUAAUCUCUAGCAAUAUCAUCAUCUAACCUUGCCAUCGGUUAACAUCUGUUAAUAGAGGGUAGCCGAUUAGGUUAAAUAUUGAUGUUGAUCUAGAUUAUAUGAGAUAUCUACCAUUCUAUGAAACUUCUAGCGGCUUGAUUGUCUAGAUAUCGUUCUUCUUUUCAUACUUAAUGCUGCAUCAGUUGAGUUUGAUCUAUUAAGUCGUGCUUAGAAUAUCGUUCUCUAGCCUGCCUUCUAGUUGCCGAUUAGAAUAGCAUCGGAGUUUCAGCCGAUCGUAUCUGAUUUAACUUCAUUUGUUCUAUAUGCUCCAUUGACAUGUUAAAUCUGCCAUUUAUAUUAAGAUGUUGCUAUAUCUAAAUAUGUUAGGCUUUUGCUCAAUAUACUGUACUUGCUAUAAUAUCCUGAUAUAGAGUAGAAUCGGAGUAUUAGCCGAUACAUGCUAGAUCUAUCUGAUUGGCUAUGCUAUAAACAUAUAUAGUCUUGUUAUUGACAUAUAUUUCGAUCUAAGUGAUUUAUACUGUCUCGGCAUGAUGACCGAUCUAUCCCAAUCACUUGAUUUAAGUAUACAUCGAUAUAAGGAGUAUAUAUUGUUAAUAUUUACAACCGAUCGAGUAGAUUUAGUCCUUCUUUACUUAUUCAUGACUGUCGAUCGAUGCACAGAUGACAUCGGCUUAAAGGUAAAUGAUAUGUCAUCGGCAUCUAGCCGAUCGGCUAUCAUUUAUAGAUUUAACCACGGUUGAUUUGCUUCUAUUUCUUGUUGAUUAUAGGAUCAAACCAACUGGCACGCUAACAACAUCUGAAGGCGAGCUUUGGAACUGCACUGGAGUUAAGCAGAUCUCUCAGGCCAUGUGUUUUCUAUCAACACCUGGUACCAACGAUCCUCAUACUUUGCAAAUACCGUAAUCGCGAUCUACUCUGUCGACAUCAAGGUCUUCCAUUUGUCAUUAGCCUCUUCAGAAAACUUAGAAAUCCUAGCUCCAUCCCAAAAUAUAGGCAAUCAUUUAAUUUUAAUUUUAGAUUAAGGUAGAAAUAAAUCAAAUAAUUUUAAUUUUUUUUACGAUUGUGUCCCUAAGAAGUUGAACCGGGGAGUCCCAAAGAGAGAGACAUUGCAAAUUAAAAAGAAAUUAAAAAGAAAGAGUCUGCUUUGCAUUUGUGGACGGAGGGAGAGAGUAAACCUGUAGAGGCAUAGAUAGUAGAUUAUAGGAUAGUGUUCAUAUGAAUAAUAAUAGUAAUAUAGGCCUGAUACAUGGCGUCUGACAUUGCGCACUAGUAUUAGAGCUUGCCGUUAGACAAGAGCAUUAAUUAGCAGAGCUAGCGUGACAUAUAAUAUUAGGAGAAAACCGAACUCGUGUGGUUUCUUAUUAGCGAGACUAUGAGAGAGCCUAGCAGUACAAGGAAGAUGCUGAUUGGUGCAGGGAUCUAGCUACAUAUCUUAGCCAGGAUCGAAGACAGAGGGGAUUAACACUACUAAUUUACACCGUCCAAUGCAAUUUGCAAGCAUCAUUAUCUUACCCUGGAUUUAAUUAAGUCAUUAUGAGUUCAAUUAAUCUAUAUAUAUAUAUACUCUCUCUGUACUCGUAAAAAAAGUCGUUUAGGACAAUGUUUAAGGUUGUACUCGUAAAGAAAGUCGUUUAGGACAAUGUUUAAGUCAAACCUUGAGAAUAUAAAUCAUGAAUAACUAUCAAGUUGUUGAGUUUGAAAAUGUAAAAAUUAUAUGAAUAGAUUUGUCUUGAAAAAUACUUUCAUAAAAGUAUACAUAUAUUAUUUUUUAAUAAAUAUUUUUUAUAGAAACAAGAAGUUAAAGUUAUGUUUUGGAGACUGUGUCGCUGUCCGAAACGACUUUCUUUACGAGUACGGAGGGAGUACAUUCUUGGUUCGGUGGUGAAAACCCACCACUCCAGCUAAUUAAACACACACUGCACCCUCACAGAUCUAACUAACUUAUGGUUCCACAAUACCUGCAUAGUCAUAUACAAAGAUGAUUAUCAUUAAAGAAUCUCCAACGCUUAUAUAUACUCUUUGGUUAAUUAAUUAAGAACUGUGACUAAUUAAUGCUCCUGGAGCAAUAUGUACUGAGUUGAAUACUACUCAGAUUAAUUAGCUGUUGCAGCUCAUGCAUGCAAUGCACGGUGGUUGAUGAGGAUGUUUUGUGUACCAACCGGAGACUGCGCUACCACUGGCAAAUGGAUGAAAGAAUGGCUCCAUCUCGGCAAUUAAUCGUGCGAAAUUCGUAUGUUAAUUAGAUGAUGGCCGUGGGAGGUGGUGGCCUGGCGGUGGGCGCCAGCAAUGAGUUCUACUUACGGAGGACGCAUUUGAUGCCUCUAUAGGAGGUUUGGGCGACCCAUUUCAUGAGUGCGUUGUAAAAGAAGUCAGUUCCGUUAAGAGUGUUUGCAAGACCUGUUUUCAUCACUAUAGUUGUUUGUUUUUAAAAGAGUAAAUUGCAUUCACGAUACAUCAACUUGGUAAGUGGGUGCAAUUUAGUGCAAGAACUUGAUAAAUGAGCAUGAUAGUAUAAUAACUUGGUAAGUGCGUACAACUUAGUAAAAAAAUUAAUAAAUAAGCGGACGUGUACGAUUUUGAUAUAAUAACUUGGGAAGUGGUCUUAAAAACUUAAUUAUUUUGAGCAUUCUUGCUAUACAUACUCGGUUUACUUAUGUAGAUUCAUACUUUUUUUUUGUCAUUAUAGUAAUUAAAAGUCAAACAAAUUUUUUGUGUAAAAAUUUUCUAGUUGGUAUUUGAGAUGGGAAAAAAAUCUAAAUCGAUGAUGCAAAUUGGAUGAGCAAUAUAUUUUUAUACAUUAUAUUAAUAUAUACGGGAUUGCUAUGUGAUGAUAUAUAUUAGCAUCGUGAAAAAACUUACAUAGUACUCAUUAACAAAAAUAACACAUGUCUAGCUAAGUUAUUGUACCAAAAUACUAAAUUAUCAAAAUCUUAUAUUAUAGUGCACCCACUUGCCAAGUUAUUGCACUUAGGUGUCACAUCCUCAAGUUCUUGUACUAAAUCGCACCCACCUGUCAACUUGUUGUACCGUUGAUGUAAUUUACUCUUUUUAAAAAUAGUGGUUGAUAAAUGCCUUUUCAAAUCGAAUUAUUGUUUCUCAACUGUUUAUUUAUCUUUUGGAAAAGGUUUAAGGUUUAAGGAGAAUCCUUUUGCCCCGAACUGAGCCAGAUUUUAUGAUUUGAAAAAUCAUGAAAUAUGACAAGCUAAUAGUCUAAAUAUAAAUAAUAUAUCGUCUAAGCCCCCCCCCCCCCAAGGGGCAUCGUCGCAUUGGUAACUAUCACAGGAUACGAUCUCCUUUGAAUCCAUCUAGUGGGCUCUUCUUGCUAAUAGUUGUGAGAAAGAGUGGUCCACAAUCAGUGCCUUCUUGUCUUUUCUUGCUCAACUCUUUUACCUUUCUUGUCAAGGAAUGUAUUUUCCUUGGCGUCGGAGUCGCGAGGAUGGAGUAGGGCAGUGGGCUGGAGUUGGUGGUGCAAGAACUUAGAUGUUUCCUAGUUUGUGUGUGUCUGUGGGGGGGGGGAUAGAUGUUUCCUGGUAAUUCUACACUUGCAUUGAUCAAAUUUAACAUAUCAAAACCUCCGAUCCCUAUGGUUGGAUCCUCUGACCAGGUCUUUCGGUCAAACCGAGAGAGCUGGUCGAAACCUUCGGACCCUAGACCUGGGACUUCCGAUCAGUUGUAAGUUUCUCUCUCUCUCUCGCAACUCAUGGUCACACAAUAAUAAUAAAAAAAAAGCUCAACACGUAUGCAAGGCUACAACAUGAAGAUAAAGGAGCAUGGAGAAUAGAGAACAACAGCAAAACAAGAAAGCAAGUUCAACAUGAGAGGACAACAAACAAGACAAGCUAUUUUUAAUCCAAGUUUGGGUCACAAAGACCUGCGGGCCUGUUUAUGUGAGCUUUAGAUUCUAAUAAGCAGCUGAUAGGAAUCUUGCUAGUGAGAAUCUAGAGAAGCUAGAAAAACUAGAUUCUUGCUUUUGUUUCAUUUUUUUUUUUUGAUUCUAUAACUAUAACUUCUUACAAUGUAGAUGAAAAAUUAGCCUGUUUGUUUUGGGGGGGGGGAGGGGGAGGGGGAGGGGGUGGUUGCCCUCACAAACUUAUCUAGGACAAUCCACAGCUUCAGCUUCCGAAAGUUCGUGGGCAAUGCCUAACUACUUAGGAUCAGGUCACACUCCAAAAGUAAUAAGCUCCUAGCAGCAACCCAACAUUGAUUCUCAAGUGUUCAAGGUCUUCCUAACUCUCUCACAAGUGCAAAUCCUGUUCUACCCUCAAACUUUUAUGGGAGCUAAGGAACUAGGUGGAAGAGGUCUUGGAAUCCUGGGAGAAGCUAGAAGACAAAAAAAUAAAAAUAAAAGUGGAAUGGCAAAGGCUCUAGAGGGGAUGGAUGGGUUAAAUACCCACAUGCUUACAUCAAUCGUUACUCAUAGAUUCAAUUGCUAGAACUUUCAAUCCCUGGGUCCCAAAACCUCCAGCCAACACUUAGCACACGGGAUGAACAUAUGGGUCAGAACCUCAAACCCAAGUGGUUAGAACCUCCCACCCACUCAAACGAGGCUGCACCAAUAACCUAUGAAAGUGUUGUGUAUGGUGUCUCUGAUACAGAUUGAGAUUUGGACUUUGAGCACUUGGUUAGACAUGGACAAUCAUUUGGAACCAUAUUUUUCUAUAGUUUGCCAUCCUUACGGAGGGUGCAAUUGCCUCUCUCACUUACACAUGGGACCAUAUGGGUCAUUGAAAUGCGGAUCAGGAUGGCGAAUUGUAUGCCACUCAUAUGCUAAGGAUGGCAUAUUAUCAAAUAUCACAGAACACCCUGAAUAGUACAACUUUCCUAUACUGAAGAUCAAAAAGUAAGAAAGAAACUUAAAAUAAGCUCCGAGUCUUCUCGUUGCGUCGCAUUAUGUCUGUAGUGUCUCCACGCAUCACACUACGCAAUUUGGGACUAAUUAUGGCAAACAUUUCAAUAUAAUCAUUAGUCCUUAACCGUUUUAUCAUUAAUCAAUAAAAACCUACUUAGGGGGAUAUGAUCACUUAUAGGAGGUAGGGGAGAAACGAGCUUGUGGUUAGGGGGUGGCGAUCGGUGGAGGCAGAUUUGACAUCGGGAGUUGCCGGAGACAUAGAAGUUGGCAGGGUUGGGGGCACCUCACCACCGCUAGCUUGAGGAGGAGGGAUUUGGGAGAUGGGGAGGGGAAGGGUGAGGGGGACUUACCGCGGCGUUGACGCUUUCUAGCUAGGCAGAAGCGUGGUGGGGUUGUGGGAGUAGAGGGGGUGUUGGGGUCGAGCUAGCGUUGUGCAGCCGCGGCAAGGGAAGAAGAAAAGGAGGGAGUCAGGGUUUAGGGGAUUUGCUCCAUUUUUAAAACAAUCUGAUAGUUUAAAUUUCAUAUGACCCAAGGGGAGGUUUUCUAUCAAAUGCUAGAUAGACAGUCCUAAUUUUGUUUCUACCAUGUACCUACAUUCAAUAUCUCAAGUUUGAAAUUUUAAAUAGUAAGAUAAAUUAAUUUUGAACUUAAUAGAAAAUGUGAUAUAAAAUCAUUAUGAAAAUUUCAAACUCAAGGACUAUUUACAAUGUUUUAAAAUCUAUUUUGAAUGUUAUAUUUUGAGAUUUAGGCUGUGUGUUAUGAUAUGACAAUUACAGGGGAUGAUAUGAUGUGAGCAGGUGAGCAGUUCAUACAAUGUAACCUGUCUGUCUUCUCUAACAACAAACACUUAAUUGAAAAUUAGGGGCCACUUUGGAUUGAUGCCAAAAUGUGCCAUGCCAAAUUUUUCGUAGUUUGAAUAGUAAAUAUGAUGGUUUGGUUUGAAGCCAAUGGAUGGUAAUGCUCAAUUGCUCAUGCUUAAUUUGAUAUAAUUCUAGAAGUUUCUCCACCAUAAUAUAAAAUUUGGCUCCCAAUUGAUAUCAAUCUAAACAUAUUGAAGUAGUUACAAUUCGUCUCUACCAAAUUAUUGGUAGUGCCAAAACAUGCAUAGGUUUUGGCACUACCAAUAUUUUGGCAUGGCACUGAACCAAACAAGCCCUAGGUAUCCCCACCCAGGUUCUUCUAGGAAUAGUUAUAAAAGAACAACCAUUUUCUUGCCAUGUCAAAUAUUGAAAGAUCGAGGUGCUAAUCGCUUAAGGUGUAAAACUUAUUGUCUCAUCUAUCUAUUAUAUUACUAAAACAUCUUCUAAAAGAUUCACCAUGUUUAACGUUGAGGCUAAAAAUUAUCAUAUUAAUAAAAAAAAGAAUUUGAGUAGGCAUACAAUAUAGAAAUAGUUGAAAUUGGGAAUAAAAAUAAGACAUAUUGAAAGAAAAUUAGUAAAAUAAAACAAUUUUCGAAAUUAUAAAAAUAAAAGUGUUAUUUCAAUUAGGAAUACAUUUUAGAAUUAAGAAAAUCAAAAUUAAAAAUAAGAAAUAUUGAAAGAAAGGGUAAUCAACAACACAACACGAUAUUUGAAAAAAUAAAAAUUAAAAAAUAAAAAUAAGAGUUCAAGUAGCCAUAAAAUGUAUAAAUAACUAAAAUUUGGAAUAAAAAUCCCCACAUUAAUUGGAGAAAGAAAAGCUAGAGUUAAGUAGGAAUAUAAUUUAAAAUAACAUAAAUGUGAAAAAAAAUAAAAAUAUGUGAAAAGAAUAGUCUAUCAGAAGGAAUUUCUUUUUUUUUUAAAAGUGAGAGAUUUUUCUUUGAAAAUAUGCAUUGAAGAUGCUUUUUGGAUUUGCUUCACAAAACACCACAAACCAUUUGUUGUUUGCCAAUGAUUUUCAUCAAGGGGGGGAUUGUAGAAUCAAGGAGUUGAUUUAGAUUUUGUGAUGAAAAUAUUGGUGGUUUGCUAAUGUUUAUUUGGAGAUUUUAUAAGACGGUUGGUUUUGUGAAGUGGUAGUUUUCAGUUGACCCUGGCGGUCAGACCGGCUGAGUGCCGCCAGUCAAACCGACCGGCCCGACGGUCUGACCGGCAGGAUCCUGAUCGAUGUCGGUUUCGGGUUGUUUUGUUAGAUUUGGAUAUUUCCUUCGGGGAUUUGGCUUCUAGAUGGUUUCUAUGCGUAUGGAUACUGUUGUUAUACUAAUGUGAGUCAAGUUGGGAUGAACUUGGGCUCGGAAUAUGGUUUCUUGGUUGUUGCAUGUGCAAGUGUUGCUUGAGGCCUCAGGAGAGUGUUGCCGGUGAUAUAUCGGAGUCAACUUGGGAGAAGUUGAUGUCCAGGGAUCAAGAGAUCAUGCGGGAUACUAAAGGCUAGAGGACAAUGCACGUGGUGAUGAAGAAAUUCAUAUGGUAUACAAGAGGGAUUGUGUACGUAUGGAAAGAGGAAUCGAAUUUGAAAGGGAGUCCGAAUUCGGGAAGUUUGAUUGAGAUAAGGAAAGAGAUGAGUUGUUUACUUGCAAGAGAGGGUUUCCUACGUGGGUUAAGAGUCCUAAGUUGUGUUAGAUUCGUGGGGUUUGCACAGCCUACCUCAUGUAUAAAUAGAGAGGGAGGGUGAGGCCUCCCGGUAUCGUUUUUAGAGAGACUAGAGUUGAGAGAAAGUUAGGGUUUCGAGUUUAAUUCGAGAUUUUGGUGAGGAAUGUUGUUGGUGCACUUUGUAAACACUAGUUGAUGCAAUAAAGUCAAAAAGUUUCAAUCUACAUCUUCGAGUUUGUCAUCUACCGGUGUUUCUGGGUCCCGACGGUCUAACCGCAGGUGUGCCCGCGGUCUGACCGGUGGGAUAGCGGCGGUCUGACCGUAGGUGUCUGGGCGGUUUGACCGGCGAGGCUUCACUGGUCCGACCGUGUAACGCUCCGCUUUUCGUGGGACGUUAAAAACUAAUUCGGCAAAAUCCUAUAUGCGAAAAUUUUGUUCUUUGUGUGCGAGUCUAAGUCGCGCCAUGGAUCUCAAUUCAUAUCCCCUUGUUCCCUAUCCUCGACAUCAAAAGUCAACCUCAUCGAAACUCCUAUUCAAAUUUCAACCUUCCAAAAUCUACAUUCCAAAAUUCAAUAUCUCCCUUUGGACUCAUUUCCAAAUAUUGCCCUCGGUUCCGAUAAUACCAAAUCCCCAUUUUGAAUCCCUUCGUCGACUCCUCCCUCUUCCCCAAAUCCAAAAAUAACCGAGUCCACCUUGAAUCUAUUCCUUGGCUCCUCCGUAUUUCGCUAAGUUCAAAUAUGCAAUUUGAAUUCAAACCUAAACUCCAAUUCUCUCCAAUUCAAUUCCUCUGUAGAAGUCUAUUUUGCCUCCUCCUAAUUUUGGAUGGGCCGAAUCCCCCUCCCUUCGGCCCAUCUCCUCUCUCAGCCGUUUCCCUUCCUCCCCUCGCACGUGCGUCGCGCGUGCGCCGCGCUCGAGAAAGAGAGCGCUCGCUCUCUUCUCUUCCUCUCUCUUUCGCCUAAUUUUCUCCCUCUCUCUCUCUCUCUCGUCGCUCCCCGCCAGCGCCUCGCCGAUUCAAACCACCACCGCCGCUUUGCCGAUUCCUGUCGCCGCCAUUCGAUUUUUGCCGCCGCCCGUCGGUUUCCCGCGUGUGGCCAGUCGCCCGGUCGCCGCCCGUGCCCGCGCUGCCGCCCGGUCCCGUUGCUCCACGCCGCGUGCUUCCAAAACCGAGAGGCAGAGCGCUUCUCUCACGUGCUCUCCCUCUUCCCUCUACUCGCCCAAAUCGGCAAGGAGCAGAGCUCCCUUUUCCCCUCCCUUUUCUGCUUUUUCCCCUGACCACCACCGUCAUGCCCUGUCGCCGCCUGGUCACUUGCGCCCGUGACCGCCAGCUCGUGGUCCUUGCACCCUUGACCGCCCUAUGUCGGUUCCCCCUCCCAAACCGCCUCUUCUCCAUCUAUAAAGCCCUGGCCGAGCCUCCCCAUCUCAUUCUCUCUCGGCAUCUCUCUUCCACGGCCGCCGCACCAUUGUUGCCGCCUUGCAGCUGACGACCUCGCCUCCCUUCGCCAUCACGCGUGUUGGUGAAGCCAGCGUGCGCGCGAGGAGCCGAAGAGGACUCCGGGCACCCUCCUUCUUCCCCUUCCCCGGCCCGAGGCCGGAGAGCCCGCCCCGCGCCGUCGGCCAUCUCCCAGCGCCCGUCCUGACCCGGCAGCCUUCCGUUCCCCUUCCUCGCUCUCUCUCGCCACCUCCAGCUCACGUGGUAGCUCGGCUAGCCUCUCGAACGCGCACAGAUGAAGCCCCAAGCCCCGCCGCCGCCCGGCAUGGCCUCGCCGCCAUUGCCGCCCGCUCCCAGAGGUAGCUCGCCAUCGUCGGCCUACCUCGGAGGUCCAUUGCCCAUCCUACGCCGGGAACGGAUUCCCCGAGCCCCGGAGAUGCUCCCGCCGCCCUCAAUCGAUCCCUCGUCGACCGCCGCCGUUUCCCCUCUUUGCUCGCCGCCGGCAUGCGCCGCCGCGAUUCGUCGCCGCCAGCCACCCUCCGGUGAAUCCGGACAAGUGGUUCGCUCCCUCUUGUCCCUCCCUUCACUCCGGUGUCCUCACCCUCUCUUGAAUCCCCAUGAACCGCUCUGCCGAACGCCGUCGCCGUCCGCCGUCGGAUGCCGGCACCCCCUUCUUCCUCCUCCCGCUGGACCGUGUGGCUGCCACGUAGGCGCCACGUCGGCGCCACAUCGGCCGCGACCGGGUCAAGCACCCAGUCAGCCGCCCCCACCGCCCUUUCU
rnacentral:lncRNA from 1 species